ensembl:lncRNA
GGGCUAGCACCAACCUUAGCCCUGGGCUAGCACCAACCUUAGCUCUGGGCUAGCACCAACUUCAGCUCUGGGCUAGCACCAACUUCAGCCCUGGGCUAGCACCAACCUUAGCUCUGGGCUAGCACCAACCUUAGCUCUGGGCUAGCACCAACCUUAGCUCUGGGCUAGCACCAACCUUAGCCCUGGGCUAGCACCAACUUCAGCCCUGGGCUAGCACCAACCUUAGCCCUGGGCUAGCACCAACCUUAGCCCUGGGCUAGCACCAACUUCAGCCCUGGGCUAGCACCAACUUCAGCCCUGGGCUAGCACCAACCUUAGCCCUGGGCUAGCACCAACGCCAGCCCAGGGCUAGCACCAACUUCAGCCCUGGGCUAGCACCAACUUCAGCCCUGGGCUAGCACCAACCUUAGCCCUGGGCUAGCACCAACCUUAGCCCUGGGCUAGCACCAACGCCAGCCCAGGGCUAGCACCAACUUCAGCCCUGGGCUAGCACCAACUUCAGCCCUGGGCUAGCACCAACCUUAGCUCUGGGCUAGCACCAACUUCAGCUCUGGGCUAGCACCAACUUCAGCCCUGGGCUAGCACCAACUUCAGCCCUGGGCUAGCACCAACUUCAUCCCUGGGCUAGCACCAACUUCAGCCCUGGGCUAGCACCAACCUUAGCUCUGGGCUAGCACCAACUUCAGCUCUGGGCUAGCACCCACUUCAGCCCUAGGCUAGCACCAACUUCAGCCCUGGGCUAGCACCAACUUCAGCCCUGGGCUAGCACCAACUUCAGCCCUGGGCUAGCACCAACUUCAGCCCUGGGCUAGCACCAACUUCAGCCCUGGGCUAGCACCAACCUUAGCUCUGGGCUAGCACCAACUUCAGCCCUGGGCUAGCACCAACGCCAGCCCAGGGCUAGCACCAACGCCAGCCCAGGGCUAGCACCAACUUCAGCUCUGGGCUAGCACCAACUUCAGCUCUGUGCUAGCACCAACUUCAGCCCUGGGCUAGCACCAACUUCAGCCCUGGGCUAGCACCAACUUCAGCCCUGGGCUAGCACCAACUUCAGCCCUGGGCUAGCACCAACUUCAGCCCUGGGCUAGCACCAACGCCAGCCCAGGGCUAGCACCAACCUUAGCCCUGGGCUAGCACCAACUCCAGCCCUGGGCUAGCACCAACUUCAGCCCUGGGCUAGCACCAACUUCAGCCCUGGGCUAGCACCAACUUCAGCCCUGGGCUAGCACCAACCUUAGCCCAGGGAUGGCACCAACCUUAGCCCAGGGCAGGCACCAACCUUAGCCCUGGGAUAGCACCAACCUUAGCCUGAGGCUAAGCAAGUGUUCACACUUGUACAUUCUAAAUUGGACUAGCACCAAACUUAGUCCACGGCUAGCACCAAACUUAGUCCACGGCUAGCUGGCCCUACUCAGGAGCAGGGUUAGCACAGACUUUUCGGGGUUAGCCCCAGAAACACAGUGCCAAAAUAGCAAAUGUGAAACAGGGUCACGAACAAUACCUAGAAUACUUACUGUUCAAUCACAAAAGCGGCACUUUCACUUAAUCAGCAUAUGCUGGUGACGCUUGUGAAUCCUCUAAUGUGUUCUGCGCGGUAUUUUAAGAAGUAAAAUUCAUACUAUUUCAUCCUUCCACCUGAGGACAAAAACCCUACUGUAUGCAGGCUGGCUAACUUCUUCUCUCUUAGCCAACUAAAGCUACACAUUCUACAGCUAGAAGGGCGGCAAACACUCCCUUUCCCCCUGUUGUCCUAGCUGUUCUAUUGACGUUUAAUUGUAUAUACUGUAUCCAUGAAAAUAACGUUGCGUGAUUUCGAAUUCGGUCAAAAAAGUUAAUGUCUCAUUAGUUCACAUUCUCUGUUCAGGGGAGGGAUGGAAUUUCAAAAGUGAAAGAUUGUUUUGGACAGGCAGACAACCAAAGUUUAUAAAAAAACUAUCACUAUUGGAAAUCAAAUGCUAGGCUAGAAGCAAGAGGAAAUAAUGUGUUAAUCAAUGUCUUAUUGCUUAUAAUGGGGCCGGUUUAGCAUGGGGCCGGUUUAGCAUGGGGCCAAACUAGCAUGGGGCCAGUCUAGCAGGGCUAGCACCAACCUUAGCCCUGGGAUAGCACCUGGGUCUACCAUGGUCUAGCAUGGGGCCAAACUAGCAUGGAGCCAGUCUAGCAGGGCUAGCACCAACCUUAGCCCUGGGAUAGCACCUGGGUCUACCAUGGUCUAGCAUGGGGCCGGUCUAGCAUGGGGCCAGUCUAGCAUGGGGCCAUUCUAGCAUGGGGCCAGUCUACCCCAAGGCCAGUCUAGCAUGGGGCCGGUCUAGCAUGGGGCCUGUCUAGCAUGGGGCCGGUCUAGCAUGGGGCCAGUCUACCCCAAGGUCAGUCUAGGAUGGGGCCAGUCUACCCCAAGGCCAGUCUAGCAUGGGGCCAGUCUAGCAUGGGGCCGGUCUAGCAUGGGGCCAGUCUACCCCAAAGCCAGUCUAGCAUGGGGCCGGUCUAGCAUGGGGCCAGUCUAGCAUGGGGCCGGUCUAGCAUGGGGCCUGUCUAACAUGGGGCCGGUCUAGCAUGGGGCCAGUCUACCCCAAGGCCAGUCUAGCAUGGGGCCAGUCUAGCAUGGGGCCAGUCUAGCAUGGGACCAGUCUAGCAUGGGGCAGUCUAGCAUGGGGCCAGUCUAGCAUGGGGCCAAUCUAGCAUGGGGCCAAACUAGCAUGGGGCCGGUCUAGCAUGGGACCGGUCUAGCAUGGGGCCAGUCUACCCCAAGGCCAGUCUAGCAUGGGGCCAGUCUAGCAUGGGGCCAGUUCUAGCAUGGGGCAGGUCUAGCAUGGGGCCGGUCUAGCAUGGGGCCAGUCUACCCCAAGGCCAGUCUAGCAUGGGGCCAGUUUAGCAUGGGGCCAGUUUAGCAUGGGGCCGGUCUAACAUGGGGCCGGUCUAGCAUGGGGCCAGUCUAGCAUGGGGCCAGUCUAGCAUGGGGCCAGUCUGGCAUGGGGCCGGUCCAGCAUGGGGCCGGUCUAGCAUGGGACAGUCUAGCAUAGGCCAGUCUACCCCAAGGUCAGUCUAGCAUGGGGCCAGUCUAGCUUGGGGCCAGUCCAUCAUGGGGCCAGUCUACCCCAAGGCCAGUCUAGUAUGAGACCAGUCUAGUAUGGGACCAGUCUACCCCAAGGCCAGUCUAGUAUGGGUCCAGUCUAGUAUGGGACCAGUCUACCCCAAGGCCAGUCUAGUAUGGGACCAGUCUAGUAUGGGACCAGUCUACCCCAAGGCCAGUCUAGCAUGGGGCAAGUCUAGCCCAGGGCUAGUCUAGCCCGAGGUCAGUCUAGCCCGGGGUCAGUCUAGCAUGGGGCCAUCUAGCAUUGGGCCAGUCUAGCAUGGGGCCAGUCUGUCCCGGGGCCAGUCUACCCCAAGGCCAGUCUAGCAUGGACCAGUCUAGCAUUUGGCCAGUCUAGCAUGAGGCAAGUCUAGGGUACCAGUGGGUCAUUCUAUAAACUAGGGUACCAGUGGGUCAUUCUAUAAACUAGGGUACCAGUGGGUCAUUCUAUAAACUAGGGCACCAGUGGGUCAUUCUAUAAACCAGGGUCCCAAUGGGUCUCUAUAAACUAGGGUACCAGUGGGUCUCUAUAAACUAGGAUCCCAGUGGGUCUCUAUAAACUAGGGAACCAGUGGGUCUUUCUAUAAACUGGGGUCCCAGUGGGUCAUUCUAUAAACUAGGCACCAGUGGGUCAUUCUAUAAACCAGGGUCCCAAUGGGUCUUUCUAUAAACUAGGGUACCAGUGGGUCUUUAUAAACUAGGUCCCAGUGGGUCUUUCUAUAAACUAGGGAAGUCCCAGUGGGUCUUUCUAUAAACUGGGGUCCCAGUGGGUCAUUCUAUAAACUAGGGUCCCAGUGGGUCAUUCUAUAAACCAGGGUCCCAAUGGGUCUCUAUAAACUAGGGUACCAGUGGGUCUCUAUAAACUAGGAUCCCAGUAGGUCUCUAUAAACUAGGGUCCCAGUGGGUCUUUCUAUAAACUAGGGUCCCAGUGGGUCUCUAUAAACUAGGGUCCCAGUGGGUCUCAAUAAACUAGGGUCCCAGUGGGUCUUUCUAUAAACUAGGGUCCCAGUGGGUCAUUCUAUAAACUAGGGUCCCAGUGGGUCUCAAUAAACUAGGGUCCCAGUGGGUCUUUCUAUAAACUAGGGUACCAGUGGGUCUUUCUAUAAACUAGGGUACCAGUGGGUCUCAAUAAACUAGGGUCCCAGUGGGUCUUUCUAUAAACUAGGGUACCAGUGGGUCAUUCUAUAAACUAGGGUACCAGUGGGUCAUUCUAUAAACUAGGGUACCAGUGGGUCUUUCUAUAAACUAGGGUACCAGUGGGUCAUUCUAUAAACUAAUGCACCAACGAGCAUUUCUUGUAGUGAACUGUUUGGAGCGGUUACUAAGUCAUUAAUAAUGAUUUGCCAUUUAAUUUCAGGUGAAUACAUUACGAAGUUAAAGGGGGAACAUAGAUACAUUCAAUAUAAUUCAUGAGUUGAAUCAAAACCUGUGUUUAACGUCUUUCAUGGAUUUGAGAAAUAUUGUGUAACACAAAACCCUAUUAUAUUGAUGAUACUGCUGUUUGUUGUUAUUUCAUAUACAAAGCAUUUUAACAAUUGAAUUACACAUUGACCUUGAUCCUGGGAAAUUAUUGGAUAUUGCUUGUCAGACUCUUUUUAGUGUGGAGAUCUGGGAAGUGGACUGUGACCUCAUAACAUUUAGUAUCUUCUAAUGUUACAGUGUGAAAACAGUUUUCAUGGGCACACAUAUCCAAAACAAUGUACUGUAUGUGAUUACAAAAUCCUAUGCUUUUUAACAGAAAGAGUAACUUGAACUUGAUUAAUAAAAUAAAAUUGAUGUAAAU